GAGGGUAUAGCUCAGUGGUACAGCACAUGCCUAGCGCACACAAGGUCCUGGGUUCAAUCCCCAGUGUCUCCA
rnacentral:tRNA from 1 species